UGGGAGGUGGGGAGCAGAGACUGGGAAAGGAGGGAUCGAAACGUUAGGCUCGGGAGCUGACGAAUUAAAGAAAAAUGUGAAGGAAAAGCCACUGUGCGCUGCCCCUUUCCCGUCGUCCAGGCUUUGGGCGUUCGCAGCCCCCUUUCAAGCCCUGUGCUGCCGAACACCGACGCCAGCGAGUUGAGUGUGGUUUGGCUUAAUUUUGUCUUCCUGCGCAUCUUUAUUUAUGCAAUACCGCCGCCUCAUGGGUAGGGCUGGGAACGGCGUCAAGGAUGGAAGUACUCAUACGAACAAGUCCGCAGGGACCAAAUCAAGAGAGGACACAAGGUGUGACUACAUCUUAUAGAACAAGAGAUGAGAAGUCGAAGUAGCCAAAUUUCAGAAUGCUGUGAAUGUUAAAUUGCACCACAAGGAUUUGUUCAGCAAAAUUCAGCGGCUGGAAACGCUACUGGACAAACAACUGAGUUCCGUUAGUAAAUUACAAGGAAAGAAAGAGAUGGAGAGGAAACCUAUACACUGAAAAAGACUUAGAAGACAUAUCAGCCAAUCACAAU